rnacentral:rRNA from 1 species
GACGAACGCUGGCGGCGUGCUUAACACAUGCAAGUCGAACGGAAAGGCCUCUUUCGGGGGGUACUCGAGUGGCGAACGGGUGAGUAACACGUGAGUAACCUGCCCUUGACUUUGGGAUAACUUCAGGAAACUGGGGCUAAUACCUGAUAGGAGCUCCUGCUGCCUGGUGGGGGUUGGAAAGUUUCGGCGGUUGGGGAUGGACUCGCGGCUUAUCAGCUUGUUGGUGGGGUAGUGGCUUACCAAGGCUUUGACGGGUAGCCGGCCUGAGAGGGUGACCGGCCACAUUGGGACUGAGAUACGGCCCAGACUCCUACGGGAGGCAGCAGUGGGGAAUAUUGCACAAUGGGUGGAAGCCUGAUGCAGCAACGCCGUGUGCGGGAUGACGGCCUUCGGGUUGUAAACCGCUUUCGCUCAUGACGAAGCUUUGUGUGACGGUAGUGGGUAAAGAAGCACCGGCUAACUACGUG